rnacentral:rRNA from 1 species
AUUGAACGCUGGCGGCAGGCUUAACACAUGCAAGUCGAACGAGUGGCGGACGGGUGAGUAAUGAUUGGGAAUCUAGCUUAUGGAGGGGGAUAACUACGGGAAACUGUAGCUAAUACCGCGUACCCUAGGAUGAGCCCAAGUGGGAUUAGGUAUUUGGUGGGGUAAAGGCUAACCAAGCCGACGAUCCCUAGCUGGUCUGAUAGGAUGACCAGCCACACUGGGACUGAGACACGGCCCAGACUCCUACGGGAGGCAGCAGUGGGGAAUAUGGCGCAAUGGGGGCAACCUGACGCAGCCAUGCCGCGUGAAUGAAGAAGGCCUUCGGGUUGUAAAGUUCUUUCGGUAGCGAGGCGUUAACUACAGAAGAAGCACCGGCUAACUCCGUGCCAGCCGCCGCGGUAAUUC